rnacentral:rRNA from 1 species
UCAGGACGAACGCGGGCGGCGUGCCUAAUACAUGCAAGUCGUACGCUUCUUUUUCCACCGGAGCUUGCUCCACCGGAAAAAGAAGAGUGGCGAACGGGUGAGUAACACGUGGGUAACCUGCCCAUCAGAAGGGGAUAACACUUGGAAACAGGUGCUAAUACCGUAUAACAAUCGAAACCGCAUGGUUUUGAUUUGAAAGGCGCUUUCGGGUGUCGCUGAUGGAUGGACCCGCGGUGCAUUAGCUAGUUGGUGAGGUAACGGCUCACCAAGGCCACGAUGCAUAGCCGACCUGAGAGGGUGAUCGGCCACAUUGGGACUGAGACACGGCCCAAACUCCUACGGGAGGCAGCAGUAGGGAAUCUUCGGCAAUGGACGAAAGUCUGACCGAGCAACGCCGCGUGAGUGAAGAAGGUUUUCGGAUCGUAAAACUCUGUUGUUAGAGAAGAACAAGGAUGAGAGUAACUGUUCAUCCCUUGACGGUAUCUAACCAGAAAGCCACGGCUAACUACGUGCCAGCAGCCGCGGUAAUACGUAGGUGGCAAGCGUUGUCCGGAUUUAUUGGGCGUAAAGCGAGCGCAGGCGGUUUCUUAAGUCUGAUGUGAAAGCCCCCGGCUCAACCGGGGAGGGUCAUUGGAAACUGGGAGACUUGAGUGCAGAAGAGGAGAGUGGAAUUCCAUGUGUAGCGGUGAAAUGCGUAGAUAUAUGGAGGAACACCAGUGGCGAAGGCGGCUCUCUGGUCUGUAACUGACGCUGAGGCUCGAAAGCGUGGGGAGCAAACAGGAUUAGAUACCCUGGUAGUCCACGCCGUAAACGAUGAGUGCUAAGUGUUGGAGGGUUUCCGCCCUUCAGUGCUGCAGCUAACGCAUAAGCACUCCGCCUGGAUCGCCGCCCC